UGAAGCCCUCCCAGAAGGCCCUGUCACUAUAAGCUGAGGACCUCCUUGGGCAAAGACCAACUCUGACUCCAGCUCUGAAUUCCAUUGCAGCCAAAUGGAUUUUUCUCGUCCCUCGGCCCUUGGUUGUUUUUCUUAACAUUUUUUAUUUCCAACCUACCCCUAGGUUUUCAGUGGCUUCCUUUGAAUCAGUAAGCAGCCCUGCCAGUGCAGAGCACGUGCCUUUGCUUCUGCCCCAGUGCCUUCCUAACAGUCCAGAGACAACCAUGCCCCACCAAGCCAAAGCCAGGACACCCUCUGGGUUCCUCAUGCUCUGCCCAAGAACACUGUGCCACAGUGAGUGCCAGCCUCACCAAUUUCUCCAGCAUAAGUACCACUUCCUUCAAAUCUUAGUUUGGACAUCAUUCUUCUCGGUCCAGGGCCUCGGUUAGCCAUGCUCCACCUGCUCCCUCAGCAGCCUCCACCUCCUCUGGCUUUUACUCACUAUCCUGCAUCAAGGUCUCCCACAGCUCUGAGAAUCCCUGCACUGAGCUUCAGCCCCAGAGGAGAGCCCUUUCUGUCAACCUCAUCGCUUUAUCCAAAUGCCUGCCUCCUGGACAGGGUUUAAGACGAGACGAAUAAAGUAGGGAAUGAAUAAAGC
ensembl:lincRNA